AAGUAUGAAAAGGCCGCUAGAGGGAAGCAAUUUUGGGUUUUAUCUCUCAUACAAACAGGCGGUUAAAAUAGUAGAGCAGUAGCUUCCAGGUUCGUUUUAUGCCGACGACAUUGUGUUGCUAGCUAACAAGCGGAGUGUUAUGCAACGCCUGGAGAAUAUAUGUGCACAUGAAGGUAAGAAUUUAACAUUUGAAAUUUAGCGUUAGGAAAUCAGCUUUUAUGGUAAACAGUACUCAAUGAAAACAGUGAACAGACAGUAUCAAUACAGGGCCAGGAAAUACCUCGAGUAAAAGAACACAAAUACCUCAGUAUACACUUAAAAAAAAUCCACGCUUAAUCUCACGCUAAACUGUGAGUUUUAGCGUGACGGGCAUGUAAAUGAGGGGCGGACAAAGACAAUUCCACACGGUAAUAACAGGUGUACAAUAAUGAACAAGUACAAAGGGAAACAAAACAAGAUUAUACAAUAUUUAUGCAAUACUCCCAAAAAAGAAAACAGAACCUACAUGCUAACGUGCAUAGCACCCAAAGUACUUUUCGACUCACUGAAGAGGUCAAAAUUAUUGUUUAAAUAAGCUAUAUACAUAUUCGUAUAGAGCUACCAAUCCCUCCAAAAUAUUACACAGACGCACGCACGCACGCACGUGCACAGCACACACGCCAAAAGGAAACGGCGACGCGCUCACAGGAAGCGCCUGACAAAAAAAAAAGAAAAAAAAGGAAAAGUGUGGGGAACCGAGGUCGUUUGCGCUGUCGCAUCUCCCUCUCCCAGAAGGAAUGAAGAGGUUCUUGGAAAGCAGGGACGGGCGAUUCUCUCUGUCAGCAUCAGCUCCCACCAGCGAGGACGGGGCGAGAAAGCGAAGCGGGACUUUCCUUGCUGUCUAUUUUUUCUUCGUCACGCUCAACGCCGGCUGCCCGCAGGGGCGCAGGCGAGUUCCCGCCAAAUGGCGCGGGGGCGCAAGCAGUUGCGUGAGUUGCCGCCAAAUGCUAGCUCUGGAUGCCAGCUCGUUCCGCGUCUCUUGGUAGACUAGUUGGUGCAUUUCUGUUAUCAUGGACUGCGCAUAGAAACGCAAACUACACAAAAGUGACAUGGACAAAAACAGCGCAAGCCCUUUCCAUGCAGUGGAGCCGCCGUAUCUCGCCGUUCAAGAUAUGCGUACUCGAAACACUGGAACGACACUGCUUAAAUUGAAGCACAGUGUGCGAAUGACCUGCUACGCUCGGAACUGUCGCCACCAUUCGGGAAGAAAUCAGAUGAAAAAACAAAACUGUAUAUGCCUGUACGAUAUACGUCUGGUGCAUUGCAGGUAAGAAUGGAUUGUGUGUGGCACAUCUCCGCAUGUGAACUAGAGUAGAUCUAGGAACAUCAGACAAGAAGCCGCGUAUGUGAAACCCUGCGGAUAGCCCAUAUACCACGAUAACCACGUAUUUGGAUGUCUGGUUUAGCUCUACAUGCGCUGGGCAUACUUACAAAUGAAGCUGCACUGCAGUUCAGCUGGAAAGGGUCGCAGGGGAGGAAGCACGCCUUCGUGAAGCUCCCGGCCAUCACGAAUCUCAUUUUAACAUCUGUGAGGAGCACCUUCCCAGACGCUUCAGUGGCUGGAGUCACGAAACGCUGGUUAGUCGGAGCAGCUGACAGGGAUGGAGGCCGGAACGAGAGAAGGCGUCGUGACCCCGCUUCAAGCCCACCAUGAACUAGCAUUUGAAACUUUUGUGAACGUGUGGGUGUAUACAUAUCCAAGACAAAUACAAGAAAUAAAGACCUGUAUAAGAACA